CCUGCUACUAUGCUACCUUGCUAGUGCUACUGCUGAGCCAGUGGAAUUCCACUUUUUGCCCAUGUUUAAACUUUGUCUAACUUUGUGAAUGUGAAGAAUUGUGUGUCGAAGCAAGAACUACGUAUACUACAGAAAUGGGAAUAUGAGUCCAGCUUUCGACUGAGACCGCAAACAUUCAUUAGGCCUACCGAGCAACUGUUCAAGGAUCUGAGAGAUGACUAGGCCUUGGUCUGCUGCCGUGGUGGCUAGUCUGGUGGUGGUUGGUGCUGAGCAGACUGUAGCAUACUACAUGUACCUGGCUGUGGUUCUAGUCCAAUUUCUGAUUAUAUUGGCAACCAGGAUAAGAGAGAUGACUUGGCCCUGGGUCUGGGAUCCACCUCCACCCUGAUGGAAGAGAACACCAAGUAUUGGUUGACAGGCUCUGCUGUUGCCGUGGUGUCUGGUCUGGUGCUGGUGGGUGCUAUGGCAGAGCAGACUGCAGCGUACUACAUGUACUUAGCUGUAGUUGUAACUGUUGGUCACAUUGGCAACCAGGUGUAGAGUCUGUGGACAGACACAACCCUCAAGUUUACAAGGACAAUCUCUGCUUCCAUACUACUUCCUGCCUACAUGUACCAAGAGGUGUCAUCUCUGCAAAGAACGGAGAAGUUCUGUUCCUGCCGGCACAGUGGGAAAAUGUGGCUUCUGCUACUCUUGCACUGGGAAUUGUCAUCACAGCAGAUUUAACUGAAGGAGAGACUUUGUCAGUGACUCAUCCAGAACACUGCAGCUAGAAGAGGAAGAGACUUGUCAAGGAUGAUCAAUACAUGGACAGUUUGUUCCUGAAGUUGUGUUGCUGUGCACAUCAAUAUAGCAGUCUUUUGUUGAUGCGAGCCCAAAUGCUGUGUUAAACCAACAAGGGGACUUGUACCUUAUUAUCUUCUGAAGUGGACAUUUAGACCGUCCUUUCACAACAAGCUCUGAAGAAUUCUUUGCUGCUCAAGGCUGCUGAUAUAAAACUUGCCCGUUACAGUGCCAACUGAAAAGACAUUAAUGGAGAAAUUAGUUUGAACGAAAAAUUGACUGUGGAUAGGACAAUGGCGUCGAGCUAGUUUCCCAAUCACAGUGGAACCAUUCAGCAUAAACUACCAAUUUUAAAGAGUGCCAAUUCAUAAACAAAUUCAUAAAUUUUAUGCGGUACAUAGGGAGAUAUUUCCAUUGUCUUUUGGGACUUUCAUCACAGUGAAAAUGGAAACAUUCACUGGUAUAAGAACCAAAGCACAACCAAAAUGAAUGUUGAAAUGUUAAUUCAUUUUUAAAGAAUAGUUUCCUGGACUUUGGACGCAGAAGAGACACAUUUUGUAGGAAAAGCAAUAAUCCACUAAAAUGGAAUGAAACAUUUUGCAUCCAUUCCUUAUAAUUUCUCUUUCUGAAUUUUGUUAUCAACCAGCCCCUCACAACCGUCUCUUGAAAGAAGGCAGAUCAAAACAGUGAAAAGAAAUUCUGAAGCCCUAAAAAAUAUGAAGGAGACUUGUUUUUAAACCUUUUCAGGAACAUUUUUAAGUAGUAAACUACAUGCAGUGCAGUGUAUUUUUCUUAUUUCUAGCUUGCCAAAAGAAACUAUCUUUGCAGACAACUAUUGAGCAAAAUGUUACAUGUGUAUGUGAGGGCUGGUUCCCGGAAAGAAAUUACUUUUAUACAUGUAAAUCAAUUGCUAAUUGCCUAAAUGGUAAAACCUUCAAAAGCUGCGUCUAACAUUGGUCAAUUUUGCUACAGCCAAGAAUCAAAUAUUUCCAAAAAUGUUUUCAUGUGUAACCAAUUCCCAGGAAAGUUCAUUGGGAUAAUCUGGUGUUUGAAUUAGACCGUGUCUUUUUUAGCAUGUCAAAAUGCUCAUCCUAUCAUGUAGACUUCUUAAAUAAGGUUUUGUCAGAAAAAACUCAUCUUUAAAAGAUCGCUUGUGAAGAUAACUGGAGUAUACUGGUAAAAAUGUUGAGGCCAAAGCGCCACGUCUUAUCAGACUCACACUUUUUGGCCAAAAAGUUUCCCAUACGCCAUCACUUUAGCCAUUCCAGUUUACUUGCCGUUUGCUAUUCUAAACAGCGAAAAAUGUAGCCAAUUUUUAUGAUGUUACAGUUAUUUGCUUACUUUUGCCAAAUCAAGAAACCAAAGUGCACCUUCAUUCGUAAUUGUUCCCACACCAAACAUGUAUCUGAAUUACCCAUCUUAGACGCAGCAGUUGGAGUAUAAUCAGCACAGAUUGAAACCUUCCAAAAUUGAUUCCAUUAGAUGGUGCUAAGAGUCGUCGGAAGAAACUGCAUGUACAUUCAGAUGUCAGUUUCUGUCAAGCAAUCUGAAAACUCAUUUCUAACCCCUUCACUUCAUCAAUAAUUCAAGCACAAAGUGUGAAAAAACCUUCAGGUAUGAAGUAUGCCUGGAAUUUCUAUUUGUUCUUUUGACAGGCCGUAAUAAUACUGUUGUGGUCAGUAUUACUCUCUACGAAGUCAAAUGGAUUGCCUUUUACUUUGAAACAAGGAUCAUGAAAAUUAAUGUGUAUUAAAAAACACAGCAGGUAUCCUCUGUAAGUUAAGUGCUGAUUAUACUCCAUUUACAUUUGUGUACUGAAAAUUUACUCUGAUUUUUACAUUUUUGUGUUUUACCAUCAGGCAAACCAAAUCAAAACCAAAGCCCAGCCACAUGCAGGCCCUCCUGGUGCGUGCACGUGUGUUCCCUGCCCGCAGACGCUGACAGGUUGGUGGUUGCCCGCUAUCUGCAUCGGCUUG
rnacentral:lncRNA from 1 species